GCGCGAUUAGCUCAGUUGGUAGAGCAGUCCGUUUACACCGGAAAGGUCGGGGGUUCAAGUCCCUCAUCGCGCACCA
rnacentral:tRNA from 1 species